AUUGAACGCUGGCGGCAGGCUUAACAUAUGCAAGUCGAGCGGGGUGAUGGUGCUUGCACUAUCACUUAGCGGCGGACGGGUGAGUAAUGCUUAGGAAUCUGCCUAUUAGUGGGGGACAACAUCUCGAAAGGGAUGCUACUACCGCAUACGUCCUACGGGAGAAAGCAGGGGAUCACUUGUGACCUUGCGCUAAUAGAUGAGCCUAAGUCGGAUUAGCUAGUUGGUGGGGUAAAGGCCUACCAAGGCGACGAUCUGUAGCGGGUCUGAGAGGAGGAACCGCCACACUCGGACUGAGACACGGCCCAGACUCCUACGGGAGGCAGCAGUGGGGAAUAUUGGACAAUGGGGGGAAACCUGAUCCAGCCAUGCCGCGUGUGGGAAGAAGGCCUUAUGGUUGUAAAGCACUUUAAGCGAGGAGGAGGCUCUUUUGGUUAAUACCCAAGAUGAGUGGACGUUACUCGCAGAAUAAGCACCGGCUAACUCUGUGCCAGCCGCCGCCGUAA
rnacentral:rRNA from 1 species